GACGAACGCUGGCGGCGUGCUUAACACAUGCAAGUCGAACGGAAAGGCCCUGCUUUUGUGGGGUGCUCGAGUGGCGAACGGGUGAGUAACACGUGAGUAACCUGCCCUUGACUUUGGGAUAACUUCAGGAAACUGGGGCUAAUACCGGAUAGGAGCUCCUGCUGCAUGGUGGGGGUUGGAAAGUUUCGGCGGUCGGGGAUGGACUCGCGGCUUAUCAGCUUGUUGGUUGGGUAGUGGCUUACCAAGGCUUUGACGGGUAGCCGGCCUGAGAGGGUGACCGGCCACAUUGGGACUGAGAUACGGCCCAGACUCCUACGGUAGACAGCAGUGGGGAAUAUUGCACAAUGGGCGGAAGCCUGAUGCAGCAACGCCGCGUGCGGGAUGACGGCCUUCGGGUUGUAAACCGCUUUCGCCUGUGACGAAGCGUGAGUGACGGUAAUGGGUAAAGAAGCACCGGCUAACUACGUG
rnacentral:rRNA from 1 species